AAAAAAUUUAAUUUGGAGAACAAAUCAAUUCCAAUUCAAUUUUACUACGUUACCAAUAAAUGUCUUGUCAACUCCUGCUAAUUUUCAUUGGGUUGGACCCCAAAACCCAUUUCAUUCAAAAAGCCACAUUCCCAAUUAACCUAGGUUAAUCAUAAUAUCUUUUAUUUACUAUUGUAAACCUAAUUUACUCACUCCUUUACCGUGCAGCCACAUCCCCCAACCGCCCCCUUCCAGCGCCGUACAACCCAUCUGCCGUGCAGUCUUCGAUGGUUGCCACCGUCAACGGUAGUCAACGCCGCCGGAACGCCACACAACGACCCUCGUGAGUUGCUCCACGCAGUCGCCCAAGUGCCGCCGCUUCUUCUACAUGUCAUCGUCGGCCCCCAUCUGAAGACGCAUCCAUCCGUCUGGCGUACCACCCGACGGCGCCUCCUAUUGCUCUGCCUCAACACACGGCGCGGCUGAAGUCUUCCUGCGUCGUCGAGUAACAAGCAAGCGCCUCUACUAUUUGACCUAUGCAUCCCCAGCCAGCGCCGCUUCCUGCCUUGUGUCUGAGCCCCCUCACACAACGUGUCUUUCUUUUAGCACCGGGCACCGGCGCUGCAAUAAGAGAAAUCAACUUCAAGACAUGGAAAAGCCGGUACUAUAUCAUUCAGAAAUUUGUACUUUUAUUCUAAUUUAUCAGUUUAUUUGUUUCUAAUGGCCGCGUCUUAUGUUGAUAGAAGUUAUCGUAUGCUAGCCUCAUCGUUGUCCUGAAUCACAUACUUGGCAUGCAUGGUCAGUUUUCUAUACUCGUGGUAAUUGACAGCUUGCUUAGCAGAGCAUGGGUGGGUAUGCUUCAAUUUUAAUUUGGACACCAUCCAAUUAUCCUUCUGCCUAUCAAACAUCACGUACAUACUUGCUCUACAUCUCGUGGUUGUUAUUUUCUUUAUCCGAGAUGCUGCCUUCACUCGAAACUCCCGAUAACAUUCACGAUUGCAAUGUAUCGAUUGGUUAAUGGGUAUCCUUGAUUCCUUUCUUGUCUUGUCAAAGUUGGUAUUCCUAAUCCUAAUCACGAACCCAACUUUCUUUGCAUAAUUAGAAUAAAACGCUUGUGCCCGCUACAAUGAAACAAAUUGCAAUCCUACGUACGGGAUUUUCUCCUACAAAUCCAUUCAAACAACACAAAUUCAACACCGAACAAACUUAAAUAAUUAAUUUCCAAUAACUUGUUAGUAUUGUAUUAACAAUAGAAUAAAUUUUGCACCUUAUGAAUCAAUUCCGUAGCAUCAUCCUCUAACUCAAUAAAGUCUACAAAUUUUUCUUCCUAAAAUUGAAAACAAAGAACAUAUCACAAAAAAAGAUAACCAUCCACUAUUCAACACUCGUAAAAACUCUUCCAACAUCCACUUAUUCAUUGAUAACACUAAUUAAUAAACAAACAAAAGUACACUGAUUUAAAACAAGACUAUCCAUGUUAAUAUCUAGAAAAUAAAAAUCUAAUUAAAGUUGCAAACAUCAAAGUAACAUGGUGAACAA